AAGUCGUAACAAGGUUUCCGUAGGUGAACCUGCGGAAGGAUCAUCAAUGAAAAAAUCCAGCCAAAAAAACUUGGGCAUUCUAGCCUGGUUGGUUGUCAUUUUUGACAUCAAGUUGGUCUAAUUUUUUAGACCAGGGAAUUGACGGAAAAAAAAUUAGACCAGGGAAUUGGUCAAGGUAAAAUUUUAGGUUCAAGUCUAACUUGACCUAACAUUUACACUAGAAAAAAAAACAACUUUCGGCAACGGAUCUCUCGGCUCUCC
rnacentral:misc_RNA from 1 species